GCCGCUACCACGCAAGUGGAUGCCAAUCCCCAAAACCUCUCUCAGUUCGGAUUGAAGUCUGCAACCCGACUUCAUGAAGCUGGAUUCGCUAGUAAUCGCGCAUCAGCCACGGCGCGGUGAAUACGUUCCCGGGCCUUGUACACACCGCCCGUCAAGCCAUGGGAGCCGGGGGUACCUGGAGUGCGUAACCGCAAGGAGCGCCCUAGGGUAAACUGGUGACUGGGGCUAAGUCGUAACAAGGUAAC
rnacentral:rRNA from 1 species